CCUACGGGCGGCUGCAGUGGGGAAUAUUGGACAAUGGGGGGAACCCUGAUCCAGCCAUGCCGCGUGUGUGAAGAAGGCCCUCGGGUUGUAAAGCACUUUCAGUGAGGAAGAACGCCUGGUGGUUAAUACCCAUCAGGAAAGACAUCACUCACAGAAGAAGCACCGGCUAACUCCGUGCCAGCAGCCGCGGUAAUACGGAGGGUGCGAGCGUUAAUCGGAAUUACUGGGCGUAAAGCGCGCGUAGGUGGCUUGAUAAGCCGGUUGUGAAAGCCCCGGGCUCAACCUGGGAACGGCAUCCGGAACUGUCAAGCUAGAGUGCAGGAGAGGAAGGUAGAAUUCCCGGUGUAGCGGUGAAAUGCGUAGAGAUCGGGAGGAAUACCAGUGGCGAAGGCGGCCUUCUGGACUGACACUGAUACUGAGGUGCGAAAGCGUGGGUAGCAAACAGGAUUAGAUACCCUGGUAGUC
rnacentral:rRNA from 1 species